UCCUCCUUAGCUCAGUUGGUUAGAGCAUCUGACUGUUAAUCAGAGGGGCGCUGGUUCAAGUCCAGCAGGGGGAG
rnacentral:tRNA from 1 species